rnacentral:rRNA from 1 species
CCUACGGGAGGCUGCAGUGAGGAAUAUUGGUCAAUGGACGAGAGUCUGAACCAGCCAAGUAGCGUGAAGGAUGACUGCCCUAUGGGUUGUAAACUUCUUUUAUAUGGGAAUAAAAUGUUCCACGUGUGGGAUUUUGUAUGUACCAUAUGAAUAAGGAUCGGCUAACUCCGUGCCAGCAGCCGCGGUAAUACGGAGGAUCCGAGCGUUAUCCGGAUUUAUUGGGUUUAAAGGGAGCGUAGGUGGAUUGUUAAGUCAGUUGUGAAAGUUUGGGGCUCAACCGUAAAAUUGCAGUUGAAACUGGCAGUCUUGAGUACAGUAGAGGUGAGCGGAAUUCGUGGUGUAGCGGUGAAAUGCUUAGAUAUCACGAAGAACUCCGAUUGCGAAGGCAGUUCACUGGACUGCAACUGACACUGAGGCUCGAAAGUGUGGGUAUCAAACAGGAUUAGAUACCCUUGUAGUC